rnacentral:tRNA from 1 species
GCGCCUUUAAUUCAGUGGGAGAAUACCGCAGCCGGGCAUAUAGCGGGGGCGUCGGUUCGAUUCCGGCAAGGCGUA